rnacentral:rRNA from 1 species
CUCACCAAGGCUAUGACGGAUAUCUGGUUUGAGAGGAUGAUCAGACACACUGGAACUGAGACACGGUCCAGACUCCUACGGGAGGCAGCAGUGAGGAAUAUUGCACAAUGGAGGAAACUCUGAUGCAGCAACGCCGCGUGGAGGAUGACGCAUUUCGGUGUGUAAACUCCUUUUAUUAGGGAAGAUAAUGACGGUACCUAAUGAAUAAGCACCGGCUAACUCCGUGCCAGCAGCCGCGGUAAUACGGAGGGUGCAAGCGUUACUCGGAAUCACUGGGCGUAAAGGGUGCGUAGGCUGGCUUUUAAGUCAGAUGUGAAAUCCAAUGGCUCAACCAUUGAACUGCAUUUGAAACUGAAAGCCUAGAGUUCAGAAGGGGCAGAUGGAAUUAGUGGUGUAGGGGUAAAAUCCGUAGAUAUCACUAGGAAUACCGAUUGCGAAGGCGAUCUACUGGAACAUUA